rnacentral:rRNA from 1 species
AACGAACGCUGGCGGCAUGCCUAACACAUGCAAGUCGAACGAGACCUUCGGGUCGAGUGGCGCACGGGUGCGUAACGCGUGGGAACCUGCCCUUAGGUUCGGAAUAACUCCCCGGAAGGGGUGCUAAUACCGGAUAAUGUCUUCGGACCAAAGAUUUAUCGCCUUUGGAUGGGCCCGCGUUGGAGUAGCUAGUUGGUAGGGUAAAAGCCUACCAAGGCGACGAUCCAUAGCUGGUCUGAGAGGAUGAUCAGCCACACUGGGACUGAGACACGGCCCAGACUCCUACGGGAGGCAGCAGUGGGGAAUAUUGGACAAUGGGCGAAAGCCUGAUCCAGCAAUGCCGCGUGAGUGCUGAAGGCCUUAGGGUUGUAAAGCUCUUUUACCCGGGAUGAUAAUGACAGUACCGGGAGAAUAAGCUCCGGCUAACUCCGUG